AUACGUAGGGUGCGAGCGUUGUCCGGAAUUACUGGGCGUAAAGAGCUCGUAGGUGGUUUGUCGCGUCGUCUGUGAAAUUCCGGGGCUUAACUCCGGGCGUGCGGGCGAUACGGGCAUAACUUGAGUACUGUAGGGGAGACUGGAAUUCCUGGUGUAGCGGUGAAAUGCGCAGAUAUCAGGAGGAACACCGGUGGCGAAGGCGGGUCUCUGGGCAGUAACUGACGCUGAGGAGCGAAAGCAUGGGUAGCGAACAGGAUUAGAUACCCUGGUGGUCCAUGCCGUAAACGGUGGGCGCUAGGUGUAGGGGUCUUCCACGACUUCUGUGCCGUAGCUAACGCAUUAAGCGCCCCGCCUGGGGAGUACGGCCGCAAGGCUAAAACUCAAAGGAAUUGACGGG
rnacentral:rRNA from 1 species